UCAGUGCUCUUUCAGGUCUGGGGCUGAAACCUGUCUUGUUUCCCCAUCAGAGGCAGUCCCAGGCCCGAAAGAGGAGAGAU